AUAUUCGUUGGUCCUAUUGAAAGGGCUAGUCAAGAAACUCUAGAGGCUUUUUAUCGACAAGCACAGGAUUCGUACUAUAGUGGGAAACCCUUGAUCGUUGACGACAUGUUUGAUAGAGUAGAGUUACAGUUACGGUGGUAUGGAUCAACGUAUGUCGUCAGGUAUCCUCAU